AUGAUACCUUCCUCUUCUUCGCCGCAUCAUUGCUACAAUUCAUCUCUCUCUUCGUUUCAAUCUAUAAAGACCUCCAGAAACCAUCUUCACCAUAUCGGUGGCAUCGAAGCAUGGCAUCUCCCUAUAAAAAUAAAUUGUACCAUACUCGUUUCCUUGCUAAGAGUCUCGAUUCAGAGUCAAUUUCCCAAAACCAAAACCUUAGGGGUUCUCAAAUCAGAAGAGGGAUAUGUAAACCCUAAACUGGAAUCUAGUCCCAAUCAUUCAAAGAUUCGCGCUAUCAGCGUUUGGAUGAGUGCUUACAAGCCAUAA